CUUAAUCUGAAGCCCCCAUUAUCAUCCCUGGUGGCUUUGUUCAUGCUAAUUUCUCUGCUCAGAAAGCUGUCUCUUCCAACUCUACCUUUUUUUUUUUAUAGACAGGAUCUCCUUCUGUGCCAGGCUGGAGCACAGUGGCACAAUCAUGGCUCACUGCAACCCCCCUGAGCUCAAGCAAUCCUACUGCUUCAGCCUCCCAAGUAGCUGAGACUACAGGUGUGUACCACCACAUCCAGGUAAUUUUUCUAUUUUUUUAGAGACGAAGUCUCUCUAUGUUGCCCAGGGUGGUCUCGAACUCCUGGACUCAAGAGAUCUGCCUGUCUUGUCCUCCUGAAGUGCUGGCAUUACAGGCGUGAGUUACCACUUCUUCCCGCUUUCACCUUUUCCCAUCCUAAAAUAUCCUUCGUCAUUUGCCUCUGAAAGAGAGGUUCCUGGACCAACAACCUAACUGAGAGCUUGUUAGAAAUGAAGACUCUCAGACACCAUCUCAAAGCUAGUGAAUGGGAAUCUGCAUUUGAAUAAGAUCCACAGUAAAGUUUGAGACAUAGUAACUUAGGCCAUUUCACAGGCUACCUCCUUGAGGAAUCCGAAAUCUUUUAAUAUCCCUGUAAUGAGACAACGUUUUUCCUCUUUUGAACUCUUCAUUCAUUCUUUGCUGGUACUUCUCUCUGGGCACUUUAUUUCACCUUGAAUUGUGGUUAAUUAUGCACAAGACUUAGUUUUCCUGUUAGGUUGUGAGGUCUUUGAAGGCAGUAACAGUGGAAUCUCCACUUUGAUGAAUUAGUUGGCUUGGGAACAUUCACACACACACAUACAUACACGCACCCAAAUCUAGGUGGUACUGGUGUUUUAGUUGAUCCUCAGAAUUUUGCAAGGAUUCAAAUAUAAAUUGACUUUCAAAUGUGAAUGCCAUGCAUGGGCAAGAUCUG
rnacentral:lncRNA from 10 species